GCACAAGCGGUGGAUGAUGUGGUUUAAUUCGAUGCAACGCGAAAACCUUACCCACCUUUGACAUGUACGGAAGCCUUUAGAGAUAGAGGCGUGCUCGAAAGAGAGCCGUAACACAGGUGCUGCAUGGCUGUCGUCAGCUCGUGUCGUGAGAUGUUGGGUUAAGUCCCGCAACGAGCGCAACCCUUGUCAUUAGUUGCUACAUUCAGUUGGGCACUCUAAUGAGACUGCCGGUGACAAGCCGGAGGAAGGUGGGGAUGACGUCAAGUCCUCAUGGCCCUUAUAGGUGGGGCUACACACGUCAUACAAUGGCUGGUACAAAGGGUUGCCAACCCGCGAGGGGGAGCUAAUCCCAUAAAGCCAGUCGUAAUCCGGAUCGUAGUCUGCAACUCGACUACGUGAAGUCGGAAUCGCUAGUAAUCGUGGAUCAGAAUGUCACGGUGAAUACGUUCCCGGGUCUU
rnacentral:rRNA from 1 species